rnacentral:rRNA from 1 species
CACCGCGGUUAUACGGAGGACCCAAGUUGAUAGCCAACGGCGUAAAGCGUGGUUAAGAUAAAAACAAUAGUAAAGCCGAAAGCAAACUAAGCUGUUAUACGUACUCGAAAGUGUAAGCUCAAUUACGAAAGUAGCUUUAUAUUACUGACCCCACGAAAGCCAGGGCA